rnacentral:rRNA from 1 species
UACGGGGGGUGCGAGCGUUGUCCGGAAUCACUGGGCGUAAAGGGCGCGUAGGUGGUUUGAUAGGGGUGUGGUGAAAGUCCGGGGCUCAACCCCGGAUCUGCCGUGCCGACUGUCAAACUCGAGGGCUGUAGAGGCAGACGGAAUUCCGGGUGUAGCGGUGGAAUGCGUAGAGAUCCGGAGGAAGACCGGUGGCGAAGGCGGUCUGCUGGGCAGUUUCUGACACUGAUGCGCGACAGCGUGGGGAGCAAACAGG